ACGAGUUAGGGUCUCUAGGCCCGACCUCCCAACCCUUUGUUUAAUAGACCUCUGUUGCUUCGGCGGACCCGUCUCACUGACCGCCGGAGGACCGUCUAUCCGGCGUCCUCUGGCCAGUGUCCGCCGACAGCCUAUCUUAACUCUGGAAUAACCGUGACAUGUGUCUAAGUGAAUUUAUUCAAUUAAAAGCAA
rnacentral:misc_RNA from 2 species